AGAAGUGUGACUCUUGGUGGGUCAAGGAUGGUCCCGUCAGCAUUAAGGAUGUGGUGCAUGCGAAGUCGUUCUCUAUUGGACAAGUGAUUUCUUCACAAUAAUGAUGGUGAAGGGGACUGGUACUUCAGAUCUGGACGAUUGGUAAUAGUGUGACCGAGAGCCAAGGUUGGUGUUUCGUUGGAUGUGUUGCUCGGUCUGGGUGAAUCGUCGUUGGAGACGUGGACUUUUAUCUCGUCAGUUGCCAAGUGCGACGACAGGGUUUAUCUUACUCUAGAGCUGGGCAUUUCAAAGGUUUCAUUGAUUUACGAGGAAGGGGCUUA
rnacentral:lncRNA from 1 species